GGUUAAGUGAAUAAGGGCGCACGGUGGAUGCCUUGGCACUAGGAGCCGAUGAAGGACGGGACUAACACCGAUAUGCUUUGGGGAGCUGUAAGUAAGCUAUGAUCCAGAGAUUUCCGAAUGGGGGAACCCAAUAUCUUUUAUAGGAUAUUACUUUUCAGUGAAUACAUAGCUGAUUAGAGGUAAACGCAGAGAACUGAAACAUCUUAGUACCUGCAGGAAGAGAAAGAAAAUUCGAUUCCCUGAGUAGCGGCGAGCGAAACGGGAAGAGCCCAAACCAACAAGCUUGCUUGUUGGGGUUGUAGGACUCCGAUAUGGUAGUCUGUUAGUAUAGUUGAAGGAUUUGGAAAAUUCCGCUAAAGAGGGUGAAAGCCCCGUAGACGAAAUGCUGACAACACCUAGGAGGAUCCUGAGUACGGCGGAACACGAGAAAUUCCGUCGGAAUCCGCGGGGACCAUCCCGCAAGGCUAAAUACUCCCUAGUGACCGAUAGUGAACCAGUACCGUGAGGGAAAGGUGAAAAGCACCCCGGAAGGGGAGUGAAAUAGAUCCUGAAACCGUGUGCCUACAACAAGUCAAAGCUCGUUAAUGAGUGAUGGCGUGCCUUUUGUAGAAUGAACCGGCGAGUUACGAUUGCAUGCGAGGUUAAGUCGAAGAGACGGAGCCGCAGCGAAAGCGAGUCUGAAUAGGGCGAAUGAGUAUGUAGUCGUAGACCCGAAACCAUGUGAUCUACCCAUGUCCAGGUUGAAGGUGCGGUAAAACGCACUGGAGGACCGAACCCACGUACGUUGAAAAGUGCGGGGAUGAGGUGUGGGUAGCGGAGAAAUUCCAAACGAACUUGGAGAUAGCUGGUUCUCUCCGAAAUAGCUUUAGGGCUAGCCUCGGAAUUGAGAAUGAUGGAGGUAGAGCACUGUUUGGACUAGGGGCCCAUCUCGGGUUACCGAAUUCAGAUAAACUCCGAAUGCCAUUCAUUUAUAUCCGGGAGUCAGACUGCGAGUGAUAAGAUCCGUAGUCGAAAGGGAAACAGCCCAGACCACCAGCUAAGGUCCCAAAAUAUAUGUUAAGUGGAAAAGGAUGUGGGGUUGCACAGACAACUAGGAUGUUGGCUUAGAAGCAGCCACCAUUUAAAGAGUGCGUAAUAGCUCACUAGUCGAGUGACCCUGCGCCGAAAAUGUACCGGGGCUAAACAUAUUACCGAAGCUGUGGACUACACCAUUAGGUGUAGUGGUAGGAGAGCGUUCUAAGGGCGUUGAAGGUCGAUCGUGAGGACGGCUGGAGCGCUUAGAAGUGAGAAUGCCGGUAUGAGUAGCGAAAGACAGGUGAGAAUCCUGUCCACCGUAUGACUAAGGUUUCCUGGGGAAGGCUCGUCCGCCCAGGGUUAGUCGGGACCUAAGCCGAGGCCGAUAGGCGUAGGCGAUGGAC
rnacentral:rRNA from 1 species